rnacentral:rRNA from 1 species
AACGAACGCUGGCGGCAGGCCUAACACAUGCAAGUCGAGCGAGAUCUUCGGGUCUAGCGGCGGACGGGUGAGUAACGCGUGGGAAUAUGCCCUUCUCUGCGGAAUAGCCUCGGGAAACUGAGCGUAAUACCGCAUACGCCCUUUGGGGGAAAGAUUUAUCGGAGAAGGAUUAGCCCGCGUUGGAUUAGGUAGUUGGUGGGGUAACGGCCUACCAAGCCGACGAUCCAUAGCUGGUUUGAGAGGAUGAUCAGCCACACUGGGACUGAGACACGGCCCAGACUCCUACGGGAGGCAGCAGUGGGGAAUCUUAGACAAUGGGGGCAACCCUGAUCUAGCCAUGCCGCGUGAGUGAUGAAGGCCUUAGGGUUGUAAAGCUCUUUCAGCUGGGAAGAUAAUGACGGUACCAGCAGAAGAAGCCCCGACUAACUCCGUG